AGGGUAUUGCUGCAGACCGGAGACAUUAUGGGCGGAUUUGAAGGCGGGAUAACUGUAAAUGCAAGUGGAUAGUAUUGGCUAAUUCAGAAUUUCAACGAAUGAGAUUAUUGUUCAUCUAUGACAAUCAAAAACUCAACUGUCCAAUUAUCAACGUUUGAAGUUGUCUAUCAAGUGUAACUUUAACCAAACGAUUCACAGUUCGUGAUCCCUACCUCUUUGAGGUUCCGCCUUAUAGAGUUUCCUCUAAAUAACCUGCCGUUGUACCAAGCGACGAAACUCCAUUAAACGAAAGGAGACAAAAAAAGAAGCUGCGGCGAUGAAAUUCCAUUAGACAAAAGAAGGAGAAGCGACGAAACUAAUUGCUCGUAUUUUUGACAAUGGAACCAGCUUGCUACAAGAAUAUCUUAUGGAAACUGGAUGUUAAUGAAAAAUCAGGACAUCCCUUCUGGUUCAGUAGACUGUGGAGUAGACAUGUUGAUGGUAUUUGAAUAUUAACUGAGAGCAGGCUGGCUGUGUGGCUGCAGAAGGGCAGCUGACUCGAGAACAAGGGGCUCAGGUUUAUUAGGCUGCAGAGAUCAGCAGGGCCUCCAGGAGGAGUCCACAUGGAAAACUGUUGGAGUUCAUCAUAAAGGGCCAUGGAGCAGAUGAUCACUUGCUGGUAACUUAGUUCAGAUAACAAAUAAAACUUUGUUAUUGUAAUCUAUCUAUUAGCAAAGAGCUAUGAUGACUUUAUAGCACCAAACUCUUGUAUUUGCUUGUCCAACAGGCUGUUGUAUCUGAAAAGGUGUCAUCCAAAUGGUUUAAAAAUGAUGAAGAUCCUAAAGGUCACCGGGUAAUGACCUCUAUACAGUAGAAGAUGAGAAGCUGACAGAUGGCCUCUACAACUACCUGAUGAAGUGCUCUCAAGAGCUUUAGGCACUUUUGUGAAGAUUGACAGAGUUCACAUCAUUCUGGAUGUGCUGAUUUGGCUUUAGUGAGUCUCUAAUGAGUACAGAAAGUGUCUAUAUGAGUAACGUCCUCUCUGUUUCUUUUUUUGUGAUUGGCUCUUAUUAAAGCUCGAGGAACAGUUGAGAUGAUUUCUCUAGCAGAGGCAGAAGGUCUGUUCAUUGAUGGACCAGCAGACGUGAGUGAAGAGUUUGACAAACUUGAGCUUCAACUGUUGGAGUACAAAGACAGACAGACAACAUCACUGAGGCAUCUCAACUUGGGACUCCAUCUCAUCCCCUCCUCUAAUAAACGUGUCUCUAGC